GCCCUCUGUUUUGGUUUCUUCUUGUACAGUACUUGGUCCAGAGACACUGAAGUGUGGGAUGCAGACACAGGAGAAGAGAAGCAGAGCUGCGGAAACAUGGGAAGAGGCUUCUCAGGUACAAGAACCCUGGGUGGAGACGUGGAAAGGAUGGAAAGAAACUCAGCUGGGAAAAUUGAGCUCUCUAAAUACUGCCCAAGGAGGUGUAAGUACUGCAGGAACAGCACCUCUUGUCACCAGCUGCGGAGGGGAGUGGCUGCCUCGGGGGAAUCCAAGCCUAAAAAUUCACCACUGAGAAAAGGCAAUAACAGAAGUCUGUUGCUGUCUAACCUGCUAUAUAAAUGAAACAAUCAAACAAGACAACAAAGGAAACUCCAGUAACCACCAGAGGCAAAAGCAGUUGCUGUAAUAUAUCCUGGCUUCAGUGACUAUUUUUAGUUUCUUCCCAUCCCCCUUUAAAAAAACCAACUCUAAUUUAAAUUAACUGGGGAAAAGAUUAAAUAAUUCACCACCGCCAGAGAAAGAGGGGUGAGCAGCAGAGAGACAGCGAGGGCACACACUUGAAUGGAAUUUGAAAACACCCUGAUACCUUGAAAUUUUUGUGCGAAUGUGCCUGUAAUCAACAAAUGUAGGAGAUUAUUUAAGAACCAAAGAGGGCUUUCUUUUUCUCAGUCUUUCAUCCUCUGAUUCUUUCUUCUUGGUCAUGAAUUCAUACUCCAAAAACAUUAAGAAAAAGAACAGAAGAAUAUUUUCAUGAAUGGAAUGAAGAGAACUAGUAAUUUAUCCUGUCAUUUCUAUCAACUCACCAUGUUAUUCUCCCUCUGGGCAAGGUACUAUAGAUGCUAUACACAGUGAACCAGCAGAUCCCAAAUUACUUAGCACAAUUUGUGCGGGAGAAGUUACUGUUAGUGUUACUAAAUUACUGUCUAACAUAGCACAUGUUUUUCAUAGCACCUCACCUCACACCCUCAUACCACUGGGCAAAGCUGAAAACUGAGUUCUUAGUGGAACUAAGCAAGACUUUGGAUGCAAGAAAGAUAGAACUGCUUGAGUGAAAUAUCCAUUGUGUUUCUUUGCAUAAUUUUACUGAAGACCUCUGGAAAUGAUCUUGCUAGUAUAGCUACACGCCAGAAUAACUAAGACAGCGCUUUCUUCAGAAUCUCCCCUUAUUAUGCCUCAUCUGUUGCAAAAUGCAGCUUCCAAAUGACCAAAGAGAGACUGGGUAGACCAUUUACUCUGUAAUGACUAAGCAGCAUUGUUCCAAUAGGAAAUUCCUCACACUGUAGAAUUUUG
rnacentral:lncRNA from 1 species